rnacentral:rRNA from 1 species
UUUUCACUUCUUUAAAAUUACCUAGAUAAAAAAUUCUUAUAUUUCUAAUAUUUUCUACUGAGGGUUUCUUUUCAAAUUUUAUCAUUAAAAUUCUUCGCUUGAACUUACAUGUAGAACUAUUUUAAAGCUAAAAAUACAACACAGAUCUCAACGAUCAUAAAAAUUGU